UACGUAGGGGGCCAGCGUUGUCCGGAAUCAUUGGGCGUAAAGCGCGCGUAGGCGGUCAGGUAAGUCCGGUGUGAAAGUCAUAGGCUCAACCUAUGGAUGCCGCUGGAAACUGCCUGACUUGAGUCCGGGAGGGGCGAGUGGAAUUCCUGGUGUAGCGGUGAAAUGCGCAGAUAUCAGGAAGAACACCCGUGGCGAAGGCGGCUCUCUGGGACGGUACUGACGGCUGAGGCGCGAA
rnacentral:rRNA from 1 species